UUAAGAAAAAGAUGUGCCAUAAAAUAACCUUUAAAGUUCAUUUUUGUCUUUGAUGGUUAGUUCCACCUCUCUAAUCCUUAUUUUCAGUGCUGAUGUUAGCACCAUCUCCAUUUGUUGUAUGUGAAAGAUAACGCUUCCUGAUAAUGUAGAUAUUAGUCAGACAAUUACCAGAAGUGCUGCUUCUGAGUGUUUUAUUAUGGCAGUGUGUGUGUGAGGGGGGGCUUGCAGCAAGAGACUGAGCACAAGGACAGUGACUGUGCUGCCCCUGCUCUUGCUGGUGGGGAUUCUCAUCCACUGCCUCUGAGAAUGAACAGCAAUAAAGAAUAUCCAGAACAAAGAUAGGAUAGUAUCUAAUAAUUUCCUGAAUGGACAAAGAAAGUUUUAGGGUGAAUUUAGAAGGGUAUUACUAUCUCAGCUUUAAUGAUAUGGUACUUUAUAUUAAUUUAAAAUUCCUCAACUUCAAAAUAUUCUUGUGGCCUCCACUCUCAGCCCACACAAAGCUGCUAAGACAAGGUACCUUUCCAGGCUGGAAAGAGCCAUCAGUCAGCAGCACACAAUAGAUAUCAAAGACAUCUCACUUCUAAAGAUAUCAUUAAUGCCAGUGCAGAACAAAGUGCACUGCAGCUUUUCAUGCCUCAUCUGAAAGAAAACCACAGUCAAUCCCACCUUGCCUAGCUGAGAAGGAGGAAAGGGAUGUAUGCACUUUAAGGUUUCUCAAGGAUGAACACAAAUUAUGUCUGUUCAGGCAGUGUUACUUGGCUUUCUAUUUGCUUAUGGAUCACUCCAGUUAUUCCUUUAGGAAAUAAAGCAUUAUACUGUCAGUCUUCAAAAAUAUGUAUUGUUAACAUUAGCUUUACUUUACAUUAAACAUUUAAAUUAUAUAUGAGAUAACUCAGGGUAAGGGUGUGCAGUGAACUGUGGGGUGGAGACUGGAAGUCUGUGUGAAGGCACUUUCAGAGAGCUUUGUGUGAAGGUCCUACACCUGGCCAAGCACAUCUGGGCUCAACUACAAGGGAAAUGAUAACCCCUGUCUCAGUCCCAGUGACAGCAGACACCUGCUUUUCAAGAAGGAAGGCUUGCAGACCUCCCACUGAGCCCUCUGUGCAUGUGGGUAUGGUUUGGGAGUCUGUGCUUGGGAGGACAGAGCCUGGGAAUGGUGCUGGGAGUCACCCUGAAGUGAAAAGGCAAGGCAGAAUUGCCAUGGGAAAGCUUCCUCAGCUGGGUGGUUCCAGCCCUCCUGUCUCUGCUGGCACAUCUUCACCUUUUCCCUGUCAGCCCAAACACGCAGAGGAUGAGGUGGGGGCCCUUCCAGAACGUGCUGAGGUAGAUCCCUGAAGCACACCCAGCUGGAAUCUUGGUGGGGGCACAGCUGGAAGUGGUUGGAGUCUCCCACAUUCCCUUCACCUUGCUGGGCUGUACCUGUGCCUAGGCAGGCUGCUUUACCCCACAUUUCAGUGGUGAGCCCUUUGGAGCCACGCAUCAGGAGUGUUAAUUAGAAGACUCCAUCUCCUGUGCAGCCCUAGCUGCCAUGUAUAAAUAAAUGUUACCUACUUUGAGGAUGGGUGAUGAUGGAUACAGGAGAGGGAAAUGCUGAGGGACAGCAGGAAGACAAUCAUAGCAACAAAACACAUAAUCUACAGAAGUCAGAAGAGUAUUACAAAAAUAAACAAAAACUUGUGGGAAUUUAGAUCAGAGUAAGUAUUACUGUGGUAAACAGAAUGGUUUAACUGCAAAAAGCACAGUCACUAAGCAGAGAGGGCCUCAGAAUUUUGUGUGCUUGCAAAUGAAGAGAAUUUCCACUAAAGCAUCGUUAAACUGUAGCCUCUGAUAAAUCUGAAAUGCUGAUGAGUUAGAUUUGAUUUGUCACUGUUUGCCAUUUGAUUUUAAUCAGUGUUUCUGCUAGAGCACGCAAAGCCUGGGUUUUCAGGGGAAAGCUGAGACAGGCAGAUGCCCUGGCUGUGGGGUUUGUGUGCACAGCCAAGGCAGAAAGGGUGGCUGGAACACUGAAGAAACAGAAAUGCUGACUUGAAGUGCCAUAACUAAAGGGGAAUGUUAAAAGUUUUGGAGGUGUGCUAUAAAAAGAAACUUCUUUCUGGUAGGAGUGCAAGGUUGUGGGCUGAAUUUGGGUUGAUUCAGGAACUUUUUGCUUUAACUUUUCUGCUGUUUGUAAAGUAAUUAGAAAACUUUAGGGAGAUGAGGUGAGCUGAAUGAACAUUGAGAACAGGAUCUGUGGCAUCUCCAGAAGGAUGAGGGGGGGAUUGGUCCCCUUGCAAAGCUUGU